AAAAGAUGAGUAUGCGUCCCAUUAGCUAGAUGGUAAGGUAACGGCUUGCCAUGGCAACGAUGGGUAGGGGUCCUGAGAGGGAGAUCCCCCACACUGGUACUGAGACACGGACCAGACUCCUACGGGAGGCAGCAGUGAGGAAUAUUGGACAAUGGGCGCAAGCCUGAUCCAGCCAUGCCGCGUGCAGGAAGACGGUCCUAUGGAUUGUAAACUGCUUUUAUACAGGAAGAAACACCUCUACGUGUAGAGACUUGACGGUACUGUAUGAAUAAGCAUCGGCUAACUCCGUGCCAGCAGCCGCGGUAAUACGGAGGAUGCAAGCGUUAUCCGGAAUCAUUGGGUUUAAAGGGUCCGUAGGCGGUUUAAUAAGUCAGUGGUGAAAGCCCAUCGCUCAACGAUGGAACGGCCAUUGAUACUGUUAAACUUGAAUUAUUAGGAAGUAACUAGAAUAUGUAGUGUAGCGGUGAAAUGCUUAGAGAUUACAUGGAAUACCAAUUGCGAAGGCAGGUUACUACUAAUAAUUGACGCUGAUGGACGAAAGCGUGGGGAGCGAACAGGAUUAGAUACCCUGGUAGUCCACGCCGUAAACGAUGGAUACUAGCUGUUCGGAGCAAUCUGAGUGGCUAAGCGAAAGUGAU
rnacentral:rRNA from 1 species